rnacentral:tRNA from 1 species
GGUGGAGUGGUGUAGUGGUUAGCACACCCGACCGGACAUUGGGAGCCCAGAGUUCAAAUCCUGCCUCCGUCG